CAGAAGGCAUCAGGUAAUAACAGAGGGUUUGAUUAUGGCUCAGAUUGAACGCUGGCGGGAUGCUUUACAUGCAAGUCGGAGCAACGCUGGACUUCGGUCUGGUGGCGAGUGGCGAACGGGUGAGUAAUGUAUCAGACGUGCCUGGUAGCGGGGGAUAACUACGCGAAAGCGUAGCUAAUACCGCAUACGCCCUUCGGGGAAAGCGGGGGACCUUCGGGCCUCGCACUAUUAGAGCGGCCGAUAUCGGAUUAGCUAGUUGGUGGGAGUAACGGCUCACCAAGGCGACGAUCCGUAGCUGGUUUGAGAGGACGACCUUCCUGCUGGGACUGAGACACGGCCCGAACUCUACGGGAGAGCAGCAGUGAAAUUUUGGACAAUGGGAAACCCUGAUCCAGCGCGCAUCCGCGUGUGCGAUGAAGGCCUUCGGGUUGUAAAGCACUUUUGGCAGGAAAAAAACGGCACGGGAUAAUACCCCGUGCAACUGACAGCCACCUGCAGAUAAGCGCCAGCCCAACUUCACGUGCAGCAGCCGCGGUAAUACGUAGGGGUGCAAGCGGUAAUCGGAAUUACUGGGCGUAAAGCGUGCGCAGGCAGUUCGGAAAAGAAAAGAUGUGAAAUCCCAGAGCUUAACUGGAACUGCAUUUUUAACUACCGAGCUAGAGUGUCAGAGGAGGUGGAAUUCCGCGUGUAGCAGUGAAAUGCGUAGAUAUGCGGAGGAACACCGAUGGCGAAGGCAGCCUCCUGGAGGUUAACACUGACGCUCAUGCACGAAAGUAAGCUGAUAGGCGGGAGCAAACAGGAUUAGAUACCCUGGUAGUCCACGCCUAAACGAUGUCAACUAGCUGUUGGGGCCUUCGGAGCCUUGGUAGCGCAGCUAACGCGUGAAGUUGACCGCCUGGGGAUACGGUCGCAGAUUAAAACUCAAAGGAAUUGAGCGGGGACCCGCACAAGCGGUGGAUUGAUGUGGAUUAAUUCGAUGCAACGAAAACCUUACCUACCCUUGACAUGUCUGGAAUCCCGAAGAGAUUUGGGAGUGCUCGCAAGGGCUUGGAACACAGGUGCUGCAUGGCUGUCGUCAGCUCGUGUCGUGAGAUGUUGGGUUAAGUCCCGCAACGAGCGCAACCCUUGUCAUUAGUUACUACGAAGGGCACUCUAAUGAGACUGCCGGUGACAAACCGGAGGAAGGUGGGGAUGACGUCAAGUCCUCAUGGCCCUUAUGGUGGGGGCUUCACACGUCAUACAAUGGUCGGGACGGAGGUCGCCAACCCGCGAGGAGCCAAUCCCAGAAACUGAUCGUAGUCCGGAUCACCGGUCUGCAACUCGACUGCGUGAAGUCGGAAUCUUAGUAAUCGCGGAUCAGCAUGUCGCGGUGAAUACGUUCCCGGGUCUUGUACACACCGCCCGUCACACCAUGGGAAUUGGGUUUUUGCCAAGUAGUUAGCCUAACCGUAAGGAGGGCGAUUACACGGUAGGAUUCAUGACUGGGGGUGAAGUCGUAACUGGGUAG
rnacentral:rRNA from 1 species